rnacentral:snRNA from 1 species
UUGGGCAAGUCACUUAACCCCAAUUGCCUAAAAAAACCAAAAAAACACAAAAGAAUAACUCGUGCAUGGCCCCUGCACCAGGAUGACACACAAAUUCAUAAAGCAUUCAAUAUUUUU